GAGAAAAAGAUUAUUAUUGGUUAGUAGUCAAUAUUUACUUUUAUUUUCUUUAAAAUUUUUAGGUGAAAUUUAUAUUUUUAUAAAAAAUAAUUUUUUUUAUUCUACGAAACUUAGAAAUUAAACUAGGAUUAGAUACCCUUUUAUGCUGAGUGUAAAUAAAAUACCUGGGUAUUAUUAGAUAUGGUCUUUAAACCCAAAGGAUUUGGCGGUAUUUUAGUCUUUUCAGAGGAGCCUGUCCCGUAAUCGACAAUCCACGAUUUCAUGUACUUUAAUUUGUAUGCAGUUUUUAUACCUCCGUCAUAAGAAUAUCCUUUUAGGGUUAAUUUUCUUAGUUGUUUAAGAUUAGUAUGUCAGGUCAAGGUGAAGCUUAUAUUCAAGUGGAGAUGGGUUACAAUAAAACUAUUUAUGCGGAUUUAUAUUUUUAUAUUUAUAAUGAAGGUGGAUUUGAUUGUAAAUUUAUUUUUUAGGUUUUUUGAUUUUAGCUCUAAAAUAUGCACACAUCGCCCGUCGCUCUCAUAAUAAGGUGAGAUAAGUCGUAACAAAGUAGAUGUAUCGGAAGAUGUAUCUAGACAGUA
rnacentral:rRNA from 1 species